rnacentral:rRNA from 1 species
UACGUGAGGGGGCAAGCGUUGUCCGGAAUCAUUGGGCGUAAAGAGCGUGUAGGCGGUCCGGUAAGUCGGCUGUGAAAGUCCAGGGCUCAACCCUGGGAUGCCGGUCGAUACGUGCCGGACUAGAGUUCGGAAGAGGCGAGUGGAAUUCCCGGUGUAGCGGUGAAAUGCGCAGAUAUCGGGAAGAACACCCGUGGCGAAGGCGGUGUGCUGG